rnacentral:rRNA from 1 species
UACAGAGGUCCCAAGCGUUGUUCGGAUUCACUGGGCGUAAAGGGUGCGUAGGUGGUCGGGUAAGUCUGAUGUGAAAGCUCUGGGCUCAACCCAGAAAUGGCAUUGGAUACUAUCUGGCUAGAGGAAUGGAGGGGGGACUGGAAUACUUGGUGUAGCAGUGAAAUGCGUAGAUAUCAAGUGGAACACCAGUGGCGAAGGCGAGUCCCUGGACAUUUCCUGACACUGAGGCACGAAAGCUAGGGGAGCAAAUAGG